ensembl:lncRNA
UCUUUCUCCUCCUCCUCUUCCUCUUCCCACAGCUCCUCCUCUUCCUCUUCUCCUCCUCCUCUUCCCACAGCUCCUCUCUUCCUCUUCCCACAGCUCCUCCUCUUCGUCUUUCUCCUCCUCUUCUUCCCACAGCUCCUCCUCUUCCUCUUUCUCCUCCUCCUCUUCCCACAGCUCCUCCUCUUCCUCUUCCCACAGCUCCUCCUCUUCGUCUUUCUCCUCCUCUUCUUCCCACAGCUCCUCCUCUUCCUCUUCCCACAGCUCCUCCUCUUCGUCUUUCUCCUCCUCUUCUUCCCACAGCUCCUCCUCUUCGUCUUUCUCCUCCUCUUCUUCCCACAGCUCCUCCUCUUCGUCUUUCUCCUCUUCCUCCUCCUACUCCUCCCCUUACUCUUCCACUUUGUCUUCCUCCUCCUAAGAUCUUUACAUUUAGAAACUUCUGAUGCCAUUUAGUGAAAAGGGUUCGUCCUCUGGGGAUCACGACCAGUAACAGACUCAACUCACUGUGAAACGUUUUAGAUGAGCAGCUGAGACGCUUUGCUCUGUUUGGCUCCUUACGAUAGCGUCCCUCGUGACUGAUGAGAGAAGAUGGUUCUAUAGAGUUCUUCAUGAUCAUCAGUGCCACCGGGUCAGACAUCAUCCAGGUUCACCAGGAUCUCCUUCCACAAAGAAGGUGGAGGCCCGAUGGUGGAGGCUCCACCGCAGCCGUGGUCCAUCUGAUGGAGCUCCAGACAAAGGAGGAGAUGUCCUUCUCCAGGAACAGACCUCUCCCUCUUUGGAGACCCAGGACUUGGUUCUGGAUACGUUUGAGGGAAGGGAGGCCCGGGAGGACCAGAACCAGGACUGGGGGUCAGUCUGUGAGACCCUGCGGCAGUAGAACUAGAGCUUGUCUAAAAGACACUACCACUACAGACCACAGGGGGCGCUAUAAUCACCACAACAUAAAAGAUGAUCAUAGUAACUUUAAAGUGACAUAUUCUGCCCUUGUUUAUUGAAAUCAAAGUAAAAACUAAAAAGAUUAUAAAGUUAAAUAUAAUCAAUAGAGCCAAUGGGUGAAAGGAACACCACACCAUCAUCAUCAUCAUCAUCAUCAUCAUCACCCUCUGUUCACCUUAGUAAUCUAUAAUCCAUGAUAAUAAUCAAUGUGUGAUCUUUGCUUCAUUCUGUGUUUGUGUAAUAGGCUGAAAAAAUUGUAUUAAUUUGUAAUGGCACCCAUCUUUUUUUUGGAGAUACCAAUGUUACAAACUGCGCUAAGCAGUUAGCAAGUGCUAUUUAGCCAUAUACCACAUGGUACCGGUCUAGACACCCAGAGGUCUGGACCAGUUACAUUCGGUCCAAUAGAAUGAGACCGCUAGGUUGAAGGAUGAACCAUCUCUUGGUUCUCUAGUGUGUCCUUGUUCUUCUCAGGAGGUCUCCUAACACAUCCAACAGGAACGUUCUCAGGGACGAGAAGUCUCUUUCAAAAUAAAGUAGAUCUUUAGGAGGAACGUGGUGCUCGUGUUCUCCGUCUACCGGUGAAUCCUGAUGAUACUGAAGAUACGUUUCUCUCCACUGGUGUCUUCCUGCACUGUGCUCCCUUUUCUGAUCUCACAGUGCAUUCAUUGAGCUUAUAUUUUGUAGGGUAUAUCCAUCCAUCUAUCUUCAAAGCCACUUAUCCAGGUACCGCAGAGAACCCAUGCAUAUAUAUGCAUGGGUUCUCUGCAUACAUAUAUAUAUGUAUGCAUGUAUAUAUAUAUAUACAUACAUACAUAUAUAUAUAUAUGAUCAAAAUUAGGACUAUGUUAAACAUUAUGCAAUUACAUAAAGGCACAUUUUUGUUUUUCAGACCAGCUGAAGAUCAGCUGAAAUUUUGGUUAUGAGUUAUAUUUAAGUACGAUAUUUAUUUGGUAUGUUUGGGAUUUUAAAAAUAGAUGGAUUUUCAUUUUAGCAUCACUGGAAAUAAAUGGGUGAAAGAAAACUGUGUCUUUCUUUGACGAUAAAUAUCUGAAGUUUGUAGGACCUAAAAGUUAAAGUUAAGUUAAAUAAAAAAUAUAUAUUUAAUAUUUAUGGUGAUAGUUAUUGAGGUUUUUCUCUUGUCACAAACCCAAAAAAGAAUUUGAAGAACAUUUUGACGAUUUCUCUUUUUUUCUUUCAGUGAAACCUUUUUAGUCUAUCGUGUUACAGACAAAAUAACUAGAUCCCAACAAGCAUAAUUAAGUAUUCACACAACAAAGGUAAUAAACACCUUUGACCAUUUACCAUUUAACAACACAAUAUUUAGGAGGAGCUUUACUGACUGAUGAAGUCAACUAGUUUAAUAGUUUUGGUGCUUAAAGAAAAAAGAAACACCAUAAUCAAAAAGAUAUUGUGUAAAAUUUAGAAGAAAAUCAACCAAGAAAUGUAGGUCUCGAAAAUAGAAGAAGUUUGUAUUUUUUUCAAUAAAUAAAAAGACAGAAUGAUGGAGUAAAAUGUUGGGG